AGAGCUCAAACUUAGAGCUGCUAUCGGAGGAGGAUUUUAGAUUUAGGAAAUUCUCAGCAGAGCAUCCGAGGGGCUUUUGAAAAAUUCAAUUCUUUAGACGCUCAUGAAGAAAUCAGGGAUUUCCUCAGACAGGGUCUCCCUCUGUUGCCCAGGCUGGAGUGCAUUGGUGCAAUCACAGUUCACUGCAACCUUGACUUCCCGGGCUCAAGCGAUCCUCCUGCCUUGGCCUCUUGAGGAGCUGGGACUACAGUGCUGGGUCCUGCCACCACCAUGGUUCCAGUGGUUGAGCUUUGCUGAAGCCCAGGCAUCAUGUACAGUGUAGAAGACCUCCUGAUCUCUCAUGGAUACAAGCUGUCAAGAGACCCCCCAGCAUCACGCGAGGAUAACCCCAAGGGGCGCCAGGCAGCGAGGACUGGGACACGAGCAGGCCAGGGCCUGCAGAACGGGCAUGAGGAUGGCCCUGCGGCCCUCGCACAUCGUAAGACGUCCGCGGGGAAAGGACAUGUGAGUGACUCCGAAAGCCGCCGCAGCACACCGAGAGGCCACGGGGAGCCCCAGAGCACUUCUGCUUCCAGAACCUCGGAGGCGGG
rnacentral:lncRNA from 1 species